GAAAGCGGCGAAAAAUUCUACUC
rnacentral:snRNA from 1 species